rnacentral:rRNA from 1 species
UACGGGGGGGGGCAAGCGUUGUUCGGAAUUACUGGGCGUAAAGAGCUCGUAGGCGGUUUGUCGCGUCUGCUGUGAAAACGCGAGGCUCAACCUCGCGCCUGCAGUGGGUACGGGCAGACUAGAGUGCGGGAGAGGAGAGUGGAAUUCCUGGUGUAGCGGUGAAAUGCGCAGAUAUCAGGAAGAACACCCGUGGCGAAGGCGGCUCCCUGGAACGCAACUGACGCUGAGACGCGAAAGCGUGGGGAGCAAACAGG